AACGUAGGAGACAAACGUUAUCCGGAGUUACUGGGCGUAAAGGGCGUGUAGGUGGUAGUGUAAGUCUGGCGUGAAAUUUUUCGGCUUAACCGGGAAAGGUCGUCGGAUACUGCACAACUAGAGGACGGUAGAGGCGGGUGGAAUUCCGGGUGUAGCGGUGGAAUGCGUAGAGAUCCGGAAGAACACCAGUGGCGAAGGCGGCCCGCUGGGCAGUGGCUGACGCUGAGGCGCGACAGCGUGGGGAGCAAACAGG
rnacentral:rRNA from 1 species